AUUGAACGCUGGCGGAAGGCUUAACACAUGCACGUAGAGCGAGCGGCGGACGGGUGAGUAAUGUCGGGGAAACUGCCUGAUGGAGGGGGAUCACUACUGGAAACGGUCGCUAAUAUCGCAUACCAUCAGAUGUGCCAAGAUGGGUUUAGCUAGUAGGUGGGGUAAUGGCUCACCUAAGCGACGAUCCCUAGCUGGUCUGAGAGGAUGACCAGCCACACUGUAACGGAGACAAGGUCCAGAUUCCUACGUGAGGCAGCAGUGGGGAAUAUUGCACAAUGGGCGCAAGCCUGAUGCAGCCAUGCCGCGUGUGUGAAGAAGGCCUUCGGGUUGUAAAGCACUUUCAGCGAGGAGGCGUUACUCGCAGAGGAAGCACCGGCUAACUCCGUGCCAGCAGCCGCGGUAAUAC
rnacentral:rRNA from 1 species